GGCGGGACGGCCGCGGGCUCUGCGCCCGCCCUCGGCGCGGACCCUGGGCCCCGACCCCGCGGUCGCCGGGGCUCCCCUUCCUCUGUCCCAGUGCGCCCAGCCCCGCGCUCCGCACCCGGGCACCCCCGCGGGGUUCUCCUGAGUUCCUGGAGCUCCCGGGGCUGGCGCUCACGCCGUGAGAGGGGUGCGCCCUUAGGGGGGCGGGACGGACGGGGGGUUUCUACGGGAGGUAGGAAACGGGCGGCUUGCAAGGCGCGGGCUUAGGCCGGAGCCUGGUGGUGCGAGGUCCCCAGCUCGGAUUUCUCCCUGGUGGAGAGUCCCGGAGCAGAACAAACCAGCAGAGGCUCUGGAAAGGGUCCUCCUGAGCACGUGGCUCAUUCAUUCAUUCGACAAACGUUACCUGAGCGCCUGCCCACUCAUUGCCCGAGUGUGCUGGGAGCGCCGCACCAACUGCCUGGUAGGUGGGAGAAGGGACACGUCAGGUAACAAACAGCACAGGUAAGUGCCGGCCACUCAAAUGGGGUGGAAAGAGGUGGCACAGCGCUGCCGAGGGAGUGCGUUCCAGACAGGUGACCUCUUGCUUGGGUGCUGAAUGAGUGGAGUUUUCCAGAGAGACCAAGAGGAAGCAGCCGCAGAAACCUCAGCCCAGCUGGGCUUGCAGAAGCUAAUGCUAGAAUAGUUGUGGGACUCAGGAUCUGCUGAAGUCGGGGGAAGAGAGAAGUAGGGAAAGGAAAGCCCAGGCCACGCGUGGGGCUCAGGAACGGCAUCCUCGCCCGAGAAAAGAGAGGUUAAAACCAAGACAUGGACAAAGCCUCCGAAUGAAGGCAGCCCUUUAAAUGGAAUAAAUUUGGUUUCAUGGCACAUUAAUGGGGUGUCUUCUCUCCGAAGACACAGAGACAACUACAGUAGGUCUGGGGGCCGUCAGGGAUUGGAGGAACGAAGGUAAGAAAAGGAAGAAGGUAAGAAAAAGAGGUCCCUACCUCUGUGAGGUAGGGACAGUGCUGAACAGCAGGGCUGGGAGAGCCCACAGGGAGGUGGCCAGGAUGGCCACAGGGCCUGGGGAGGACCAGGUGGGGCACCAUCCUGCGGUAGAGAAUGCCCGUCACCUGCCCUAGGGGCCACCCAGAAUGCAGAUUAAAUAAGUAUUUGGGAAUGGCACAGGAGCUUUUCCAUUUUCGUGGGUUAGAGGAAAGCUGCUGCGUUCAAGAGGAUAACGUGGGACCUGAGCAUUCUGGUAAGUCAACCCCACAUUCAUGGAAAGCCACGGGCUCUGUUUUACUGAUAAGGAACUGAAGUCCCACAGAGGAAGUGGCCAGGCUCACUCACACACAGCAUGCACUUGAAGCUUUCUGUGGAAAUCAGAAACCUCCGGGGCUCAGGCGCUGUAGUGGUGGCCUGGUGACUCUGACCCCUUGAAGGAGAAGCAUCUGUGAAGGUGCUGUCCAGGACAAGUAGGGUGCUCUACGGUAAAGGACAUGGUGGCCUGACCUGCUCCAGAGCAGGGAGGCCUCCCUUGAGGAAAUAAGAUAAACCCAGACUUUAAGGAUAAGCAGAAACCAGCUAGGUGAACUGGAGUGGGAACAGCACGUGAAAAGGCCCUGGUUUAGGAAGGAGCACCACUCCUUCAGAGCACAGAAAGGCCAGGAUGGCCGAAGCAUAGGGAACAACAGGAAAGUGACAUAAAUUGAGGCUGCAGAGGUAGAAGAAGGGCCUUAUUGGUCGUGCUAGGAAUUUGGAAUUCUGCAAAGAAGCCUGGGAAACAGAUUUUGGUGACACUCGCCUUCUCUUUAAUGUGCAGUUUCAGUUCUGUUGGUGUGAUUCUGCAUUGGAGAUGGCGUGCUGUAACGAAUGGCCAGGAGCUUAAGAGUCAUGCAGACUUGGGAGGCCUGGCCUUGCCACGCCCAGCUGCAUGGCCAUCCUCCUCCUGUUUCUGGCCGUUCUGUUUCUAAACCUUGGGGUUCUGAUAUUCCUACAUGUAAACUAGGGGCUGUAAUAGGAAUCUCACAGUCAAAGUGGAGGAAGGAGGAGCUUGAGAUUGAAAAAUCAGUUUGAGAAGCAGCCACCUUGACUGGCUUCACUCUAAUAGCCUGGACGCUGCCUCCACACUCCAGGUGCACUGCUCAGCAUUCUCCAAGAAGAUCAUUAAGGCAGACCCUACGUGUUAAAUUUCAAUCAGUUUCAUUGAGCAAAUAUGCUGUUAAAUAGAGACUGCUGUGUGCUGCGUCAGUGUGCCUUAUGGGCAAAUGUGAUGGUGACUAUAAAUGCAGACCAAGCAGUCCUUCCCACACUGUGUACACAAAGAAAGGAGCUCUGGAACUGGGAGCCAGGACAUCUGCAGGAGGAGAAUUCUGAAGUGAAAGGAGGCCUGGAUAUUGGUUGCAAGGCCUUGUCCCUGGAGCCUGGAUGCUCUCAUACCUUCUACAUCUGGGCCUCUGGGUCCAGGACAGUGCCAGGGAGAGUUCAUAGAAACAAAUGUGUUGAAGACCUUAGCGGUUGUCUGACUCUGAGACAGUUACCUGGCCACUCUUAAGUUUCCUCAUUUUUUUUUUAAUUUUACUUUAAGUUGCGGGAUACAUGUGCAGAACGUGCAGGUUUGUUACAUAGGUAUGCAUGUGCCAUGGUGGUUUGCUGCACCUGUCAACCUUUCAUCUAGGUUUUAAGCCCCUCAUGCAUUAGAUAUUUGUCCUAAUGCUCUCCUUCCCCUUGGCCCCCUGUCAGGUCCUGGUGUGUGUGUUGUCUGGCCCCCACCGUGUCCAUGUGUUCCUAUUGUUCAUCUCCCAUUUAUGAGUGAGAAUAUGUGGUGUUUGGCUUUCUCUUCCUGUGUUAGUUUGCUGAGGAUGAUGGUUUCCAGCUUCAUCCAUGUCCCUGCAGAGGACAUGAUCUCAUCCUUUUCAUGGCUGCAUAGUAUUCCGUGUUGUGUAUAUACCACAUUUUCUUUAUCCAGUCUUUCAUUGGUGGACAUUUGGGUUGGUUUCAUGUCUUUGCUAUUGUAAAUAGUGCUGCAAUAAACAUUAUGUGUGCAUGUGUCUUUAUAGUAAAAUGAUUUCUAUUCCUU
rnacentral:lncRNA from 1 species